rnacentral:lncRNA from 1 species
AAUUCAAGAAAGAAAAAAUAUUUAAUGAUAUAUGGGACAAUCCAUUUAGUAUUUAAUUGUGACUUUAAAGUGCAACUGUGAAUCAGUAAGUACCACAAUACAUCAUUAAUGAAUGUAAGACCUCAUAAAGUAACUACACUGUUCAAUGGAUUUACUUAUGCUAAAGGUCAAAAAACAGGCUCUGUGUAUACCAUAAUAUAUCUCUCAAUAUAAUACUGGACAUCUAUAACAAGGUAUUGUAUUUUUUCCUGAUUACAGCAUGACAGUGGGAAACUGCCUGCAAAAUACAGAGGAUAACCAAUUUUCAUAGCAGUAAAAAAAAUGGAAGGUUCCGAAAGAAAAAGAAGUUAUGUAGUAUCUAAAUGUUUAUUCAAUCUGAUUUUUCUAAGUAAUAACUUCCAAAGAGACAUUAAUUUUUAAAAGUUUAAUAUACUAGGGAGAGGAUCUCAAGCAGCUAACAAAAGAUUUUUCAAAUAUUAUUAAAAUCAAAGAAUGAAAAUGUAAAGUGGAGAUUUUAAAGUUACACAAGGAAUUCAUUGCUCUCACUAUUCAGAAAAUUUAGAAGUAUAUAACUCUUUAAUGAAAGAUUUUCUUUUAUCACAAUAGACUGCCUAGUAUUUUUGAACAUAGACCUUUAUAAGACAUGAUGACAGCUUAAAAGAAUCCUAUGUCUUUUAAUGGAUCCUAAAGCCCUGGAACCAGGACUGGCAAACUUUUUCUACAAAGGACUAGAUGAACCAUUCCAAUUCUCUUCUACCUAUUUUGAAAUACAGUACAAGCUAUAGUCAUCCUACUGAAGAUCUUAAAUCCUUUGAAAGAAUAAUUACCUUUUUGAACAGAGAACCAAUUUCAAAAUAGUGUGCACACACUUCAACUUUAGUGAAAUGUAAAAGCCAUCAUUAGCUUGGACCACAGAAAAACAAGCAGCAAGCCAUGCAUGGUGGAGAGCACCUAUAGUACCAGCUAUUCAGGAGGCUGAGGCAGGAUUACAUGAGCCCAGGAGUUAGAGGCCAGCCUGGGCAACAUAGUGAGACCCUAUCUCUUAAAAAAAAGAAAGAAAACAGGCAGCAGAAAAGAUCUGAACAGUGAGCAGUGUGCCAACCUCUAAUCCUAACAUUCAUAAAUUUAAAAAAAUAACACGAAACAUUUGUGUUUAGUAAAAUACCUAGAAUACACAGUAGCUUUGUGAGGAGGCACAUACGGGAUAUUUGUUUGAACUCAUAAACAGCACUGAAAUAGUGAAUAAGAAUUUGAAUGGUUAAGCACAAGAACUUUUUUUUAAGAGACAGAGUGUUGCUCUGUUGUACAGGCUGAACUCAAACUCCAGGGCUCAAGUCAUCCUCCUACCUCAGCCUCUGACGAAGCUGGGACUCCGGGCAUGCACCAAGAAGUCCAGGUAAGAAUUUUUUUAAUCCAUGUCUAAAAGCACUUACUCAGUCUGAAUCACAAACAAUUGUGAGGAAUAUCAUAUAUGGCUUAGAAUGCUUCAUGAUUUUUGGAAAGCAUUAUUUAAAUCUUUUGAAAGAAUUUUCAUUUAUUCUAAUUUUUAAACUAGAAAUAGUCUGACACAUGAAUGUGAAUGAGCAUAUGAAACAUGUCUGCACAAAUCACUAAAAAUUAGAAGCCUGAAAUGAUAGGUUUUCAUCUGGAUGGUACUGAACAAUUUAUAAGCUAUUGAGCUUCCCUGCUAUUAAAGAAUUUUCCAGGCUGGGCAUGGUAGCUCACACCUGUAAUCCCAGCACUUUGGGAAGCCGAGGCAAGCGGAUCACUUGU